UAAAGUGCGAUAUGUAGUGCGAUUUGCAUGAAUCUGUGAGUCAUCUAAUCUUUGAACGCAACUUGCGCCUCUCUGAGGCAUGUCUGUUUGAGUGCCGCAUACCUUUUGCAGCAAUGCGAUUUGAUCAAUGUCUCUGUCGGACUCGAUCUAAACGUAGCCAGAUAGUGGUUAAUGUUACUAGCCCGAGUGCUAAGCAUUCUUGGUUCUAGUGACAAAGAUCAAUAUGGUCAUUCAUUAAUUAAUCAAUUAAUUAAUUAAUGACCUUUUUUUAUAUUUGGCCUCAAAUCAGGCAAGACUACCCGCUGAACUUAA
rnacentral:misc_RNA from 1 species